rnacentral:rRNA from 1 species
GAUGAACGCUGGCGGCGUGCCUAAUACAUGCAAGUCGAGCGGCAGCACGGUCUUCGGACUGGUGGCGAGCGGCGGACGGCUGAGUAACGCGUAGGAAUAUACCCAAAGUGAGGGAUAACUGCCCGAAAGGGUGGCUAAUACCGCAUGUGGUCUUCGGACUAAAGCCUUCGGGCGCUUUGGGAAUAGCCUGCGUAAGAUUAGCUUGUUGGUGAGGUAAUGGCUCACCAAGGCGACGAUCUUUAGCUGGUCUGAGAGGAUGACCAGCCAGACUGGAACUGAGACACGGUCCAGACUCCUACGGGAGGCAGCAGUAGGGAAUUUUCCACAAUGGGCGAAAGCCUGAUGGAGCAACGCCGCGUGCAGGAUGAAGGCCCUCGGGUCGUAAACUGCUUUAUGUGCGAAGAAUAUGACGGUAACACAUGAAUAAGGGUCGGCUAACUACGUGCCAGCAGCCGCGGUAAU